GAUGAACGCUAGCGGCAGGCUUAACACAUGCAAGUCGAGGGGUAACAGGCUUGAUGUGAGACCGGCGCACGGGUGCGUAACGCGUAUAGAACCUACCUUUUACAGGGGAAUAGCCCAGAGAAAUUUGGAUUAAUGCCCCAUAGUAUUAUUUGAUCACCUGAUAGAUGAUUAAAGAUUUUGCUAAAAGAUGGGCAUGCGUUUUAUUAGUUAGUUGGUAAGGUAACGGCUUACCAAGACUACGAUAGGUAGGGGCCCUGAGAGGGGGAUCCCCACACUGGUACUGAGACACGGACCAGACUCCUACGGGAGGCAGCAGUGAGGAAUAUUGGGCAAUGGAGGCAACUCUGACCCAGCCAUGCCGCGUGCAGGAUGACUGCCCUAUGGGUUGUAAACUGCUUUUAUACAGGAAGAAACACUCCCCGUGAGGGAGCUUGACGGUACUGUAAGAAUAAGGACCGGCUAACUCCGUGCCAGCAGCCGCGGUAAUACGGAGGGUCCAAGCGUUAUCCGGAAUCAUUGGGUUUAAAGGGUUCGUAGGCGGAAUUAAGUCAGGGGUGAAAGUCUGCAGCUCAACUGUAGAAUUGCCUUUGAUACUGGUUAUCUUGAGUUAUUAUGAAGUAGUUAGAAUAUGUAGUGUAGCGGUGAAAUGCAUAGAUAUUACAUAGAAUACCAAUUGGGAAGGCAGAUUACUAAUAAUCAACUGACACUGAUGGACGAAAGCGUGGGGAGCGAACAGGAUUAGAUACCCUGGUAGUCCACGCCGUAAACGAUGGUUACUAGCUGUUCGGACUUCGGUCUGAGUGGCUAAGCGAAAGUGAUAAGUAACCCACCUGGGGAGUACGUUCGCAAGAAUGAAACUCAAAGGAAUUGACGGGGGCCCGCACAAGCGGUGGAGCAUGUGGUUUAAUUCGAUAAUACGCGAGGAACCUUACCAGGGCUUAAAUGUAGAUUGACAAUUUAGAGAUAGAUCUUUCUGCGGACUACUUACAAGGUGCUGCAUGGUUGUCGUCAGCUCGUGCCGUGAGGUGUCAGGUUAAGUCCUAUAACGAGCGCAACCCCUAUCGUUAGUUCUAGCAGGUCAUGCUGAGGACUCUAACGAGACUGCCGGUGCAAACCGUGAGGAAGGUGGGGAUGACGUCAAAUCAUCACGGCCCUUACGUCCUGGGCUACACACGUGCUACAAUGGUAUAUACAGAGAGCAGCCACCUGGCGACAGGGAGCGAAUCUAUAAAGUAUAUCACAGUUCGGAUCGGAGUCUGCAACUCGACUCCGUGAAGCUGGAAUCGCUAGUAAUCGGAUAUCAGCCAUGAUCCGGUGAAUACGUUCCCGGGCCUUGUACACACCGCCCGUCAAGCCAUGGAAGCUGGGAGUAUCUGAAGUCGGUCACCGCAAGAGCGCUAGGGUAAAACUGGUAACUGGGGCU
rnacentral:rRNA from 1 species